rnacentral:lncRNA from 1 species
UCUCUACAAUAUCCCAAAUAUCAUGUGCACCUAGGAGAGCCUUCAUCUUGAUACUCCAAUUACCAUAGUUGCUCUUGUUGAGCAUAGGAACUUGUAAGGAUGCAACACCAUUUGCCCAUGAUUUUAGAAAAUUUUGGUUAGAAUCUUGUGGCUCUGAUACCACUUUGUUGGAAGAGGAUUGCUAUUAAUAUUUGAAGGGAGGUUAUUAGGCUAAGGGAAUUUUGGAAGAGUAGAAAGAUUUUGGAGAAGAGAAACUUUUAUUACUCAAACUUGUUUUUGAUUUUUUUU